rnacentral:lncRNA from 1 species
GAAAUAGUGUCAGAAAACUCACAGAAUUGAGCUGUUAAAUAUUGUUAUCAUUUUAAAACAAGGAAACAAAAAUUGUAAGAUAUCCUUAGUUUGGUUUUCAGUUAACUGAUGAUUUUAAAACAAGGAAAUUUGAGUACCUGGAAAAUAUGUGAAGGUUAACAAUAAGCAAUGCUAAUGGCCUUUAAAGAAGUAAUCUUUCUAAACUCAGUCUUUUUGGAUUGAAUUACAGAAGUAUUAAGAGGAAAGGAAUGUCAUGGAAGAAAUAUCUGGAUUCUUUAUUACAACAAUCUCUAUAGUGCUUCCUGAAAUUCAACUUGGAAAUGCAUUUCAUAUUCCCAGCUAGCAUGUGAACAAAAUCUAGCAAAGAGCAAAAUAUCACAUUUGUCAGAUUAGCUAAACAGCACAUUUGCAGCAAUACACAUAUAUGCUGCCUUAAAAAGAUCAUUUGUAAAAUUUGUCAGCAUAGGGCUUUAUGUUUAUUUUUAGUUAGACUAGCACAUUUAUUCUAUUCAUUGAAGGGUUUUUUUUUGGGGGGGGGGGUUUGUUGUUUGUUUGUUGGUUGGUUUGUUUUGGCUGAGCCCACAACAUGUGGAAGUUCUUGGGUCAAGGAUAAAAUCUACACCACAGCAGUGACCCAAGCCGCCACAGUGACAACACCAGAUCCUUAACCCACUGCUUCACAAGAGAACUCCUCACUGAAGUAUUUUUUUAAGGCUACUAAACUCUCUAGUUAUACUAGGGGAAAAAAUUGCUUAGUUUAUUUAAAACUCUGCUGGUAGCAUUUUACAUGAAGUUUAAGGUUUUCGUAAUAAGUUUAGAGUUUCAUAAAAUGCAACCCCAUAUUAUUAUCCUUUUACUUGAGUCAAAAUAUAUUAUCAGGUCUUGGAGUUCCCAUUGUGGUGCAGUGGAAACAAAUCUGACUAGUAUCCACAUAGAUGUGGGUUUGAUCCCUGGCCCUCACUCAGUGGGUCGGGGAUCUGGCAUUGCCAUGAGCUGUGGUGUAGAUCAUGCAGUUGCGGCUCAGAUCCUGCAGUGCUGUGGCUGUGGCUGUGGUGUAGGCUGGCAGCUGCAGCUGGGAUUCAACCUCCAAGUCUGGGAACUUCCAUGUGCCACGGGUGUGGCCCUAAAGAGCCAAAAAAAAGAAAUAUAUUAUCAGGCCUUGUUCCUUAAACAGUCUACUUGCAUUAUAGCAAGGCACUAAGGACUAUUUGAGUUACAACCCUUUCAUUAAAAUGUCAUUAGAGGAGUUCCCAUGGUGGCUCAGUGGUUAAUGAACCCAACCAGUAUCCAUGAGGACACAGGUUCAAUCCCUGGCCUUGCUCAGUGGGUUAAGGAUCUGCCAUUGCCCUAAGCUGUGGUGUGGAUCGCAGAUGCUGCUCAGAUCCAGUGUUGCUGUGGCUGUGGCAUAGGCUGGCAGCUGUAGCUCCAAUUCAAUCCCUAGCCUGGGAACCUCCAUAUAUCUCAGGUGGGGCCCUGAAAAGACAAAAGACCAAAAAAAAAAAAAAAAGUGAUUAGAGUUAUAAAGGAAUGAUGAGGAAAAACAGACUUCUGAAAGUUUUUAGUUUGUUUUCAUUUUAUGCCUUAAUAUUCUUAACACCAACACAUGGACCUUAAUGUCACUUUAACUGUCCCCUGCAUCUAAUAGAUUACUAACCCUAACCCAUCUACCUUAGCCAAGACCUCAGCUCGUCCCUUCCAUCUCUCUGAGUGCAUUCAGGGUAUAUAUAGGAUGCUACACAUAUAGUCAGAGUUACUACCUGCAGCCCUGUAAUCCUCUUGCUCUAGCUGUUCUUGUGCCAUUGCUGCUGCCUUCCUCUCUGCUUUAUGCCCACCGGUGCUCCCUAGCCACAGAUCAGGCAGUACCGAUUCACCCCUGACUCCUGAGCCUAUGCUCACUGCCAUCAAGGCCGCCUGGAGUUCCCUGCUGCUUUCAGUUACCUGUUGCUGCAUAACGACCACUCCCAAAACUCAGUGGCUUAAAAGGAUUUUUUUUCUAUCUCUCAAUUCUCUUUUACAUGAAAAAAAUUAUUAUAUCUCUCAAUUCUGUUAUAAAGAACAUUGGCUUUCCUUAAUCUUUCUACUGUUAUAAUCGCAUCAAACUUUUUUUGUUUGAAAUUAUUUUUAAAGCUGUUUCAUGCAUUAAAAGGUUUUUGGUGCAUUGUAAUUUUUUUUUUCAGUACUAGUAGACCUAAAGUCUUAAAUUUACUGGUGGUGUAACAAAAUUUGAGGGUGUCAUCUUUGAGUAUUUGACUGACAAUUUCAUUUUUUCUUGUAUUCAAAUCAUACUUUUUUCUUUUUCUCAUAAACUGACUUGAGUUCUAGGAUGAUUUAAGUUGCCUCUAUUUGGUCUUAUUUGGUCAAUAAGAAAGUAAAACUGACUCUAAGUUAAGAGAAAAAUAGGCAAUUUGUCAGUUUUUAGGUGAUCAUGACAUGCUAAUAAAAGUAGCUAACUUACAGCUUACUAAAAAAGUUGUCUUGAUUGUUAUAGAAUAAAUCUUUUGGGAGACAAUCUUAACAGGUUUAAACAUUUGGGUGGAGAAGAGCAUAUAUUUUCUAGAAGUGAUUUUUUUCUGAGUGACAAAUAUGAGCACAUAAUUUAUUAUGAUACUAUUCAUAGCAAACAAUACUUGAAAGAGUUUCAUUGUGAUUCUUGUUUCUAUGUAGCUGAUGUGUUUUAUUGGGUUUUUUUUUUUUUAAUCUUGAAAUUUGUUCAGCUUCUCUUUUGUGCCUCUUUACUGAGGAAAGCUGUAUGGUAUUUAAAGUAUAGUUCAGUAUUGCUCUGAACAAAAAAAAAAAAAAAAAAAAAAA